rnacentral:rRNA from 1 species
UACGUAGGGUGCGAGCGUUAAUCGGAAUUACUGGGCGUAAAGCGUGCGCAGGCGGCGCGUUAAGACAGGUGUGAAGCCCCGAGCUUAACUUGGGAAUUGCGCUUGUGACUGGCGUGCUUGGAGUGUGGCAGGAGGGAGGUGGAAUUCCACGUGUAGCAGUGAAAUGCGUAGAGAUGUGGAGGACACCGAUGGCGAAGGCAGCCUCCUGGGCCAGCACUGACGCUCAUGCACGAAAGCGUGGGGAGCAAACAUGG